rnacentral:rRNA from 1 species
CCUACGGGUGGCUGCAGUGAGGAAUAUUGGUCAAUGGACGCAAGUCUGAACCAGCCAUGCCGCGUGCAGGAUGACGGCUCUAUGAGUUGUAAACUGCUUUUGUACGAGGGUAAACCCCGAUACGUGUAUCGGGUUGAAAGUAUCGUACGAAUAAGGAUCGGCUAACUCCGUGCCAGCAGCCGCGGUAAGACGGAGGAUGCGAGCGUUAUCCGGAUUUAUUGGGUUUAAAGGGUGCGCAGGCGGAAGAUCAAGUCAGCGGUAAAAUUGAGAGGCUCAACCUCUUCGAGCCGUUGAAACUGGUUUUCUUGAGUGAGUGAGAAGUAUGCGGAAGGCGUGGUGUAGCGGUGAAAUGCAUAGAUAUCACGCAGAACUCCGAUUGCGAAGGCAGCAUACCGGCGCUCAACUGACGCUCAUGCACGAAAGUGUGGGUAUCGAACAGGAUUAGAUACCCGGGUAGUC